UACGGGGGGGGCAAGCGUUGUUCGGAAUUACUGGGCGUAAAGGGCUCGUAGGCGGCCAACUAAGUCAGACGUGAAAUCCCUCGGCUUAACCGGGGAACUGCGUCUGAUACUGGAUGGCUAGAGGUUGGGAGAGGGAUGCGGAAUUCCAGGUGUAGCGGUGAAAUGCGUAGAUAUCUGGAGGAACACCGGUGGCGAAGGCGGUUCUCUGGGCAUGUUCUGACGCUGAGGAGCGAAAGUGUGGGGAGCGAACAGG
rnacentral:rRNA from 1 species